rnacentral:lncRNA from 1 species
AUGGGGUUUGUGCUGACUUGGGAUUUACUUGUUACUAUUUUAAAAGGUGUCCAGUGUGAGGCGCAGUUGUUGGAGCCUGGGGGAGACUUGGUACAGCCUGGCGCGGUGGGGGUGGGGGUCCCUGAGACUGUCCUGUGCAGCCUCUGGAUUUGCCUUCAGUAGCCACUGGAUGCACUGGGCCUGCCAGGCUCCAGGGAACAGACUGGAGUGGGUCUCAUGUAUUAGUACUGAUGGGAGUAGCAUACGCUAUGCACAUUCUGGGAAGUUCUGAUUCCCCAUCUCCAGAAACAAUGCCAAGAACACACUCUUAUCUGGAAAUGAACAGUUUGAGAGCUGAGUACACAGCCACGUAUUACUG